UACGGAGGUGGCGAGCGUUGUCCGAAGUUACUGGGCGUAAAGCGCGCGUAGGCGGGGGAUUAAGUGAGAAGUGAAAGGCUGGGGCUCAACUCCAUGCAGUGCUUCUCAUACUGGUCUUCUUGAGGGGGGUAGAGGAGGGUGGAAUUCCCGGUGUAGCAGUGAAAUGCGUAGAUAUCGGGAGGAACACCAGUGGCGAAGGCGGCCUUCUGGACCAGUACUGACGCUCAUGCACGAAAGCGUGGGGAGCAAACAGG
rnacentral:rRNA from 1 species